ensembl:lncRNA
GUAAGUCAUUUCGAACACACCCUUAGUUUGUCCAAAAAAAUACUUAGGGAAAUGCAGUAUGCCAAAAAUACCAGGAUGUUGUACUUACUACAUACGGUCGCAAUUCGCAGUAUGCAAGCAAUUUAGGCUCUUCUUACCCACAAUCCUCUGCAGCAUAAGAUACAUGGGCAGCACUACAGGUGGGCUGAUAAGUGACAUCACUUGCAUGUUUUGUAUGCUUGCAAGAUGGGUGCAGCAGUGCCUACUGUAGAGUAGCUGCAGCACCGUAGGCGCACAAGAAAAAGGAUGCGAUUUGGAGUUAAAAAAACAGCCUUGUGUUUUCAACCAGAGCCGCACACUUAAUGAGUUCAGUGAAUCACAUCCUGUCGGAUCCCAGCGCUCACCGCAGACCUGUUGACGCUGCAGAGCCACGACCACCCUGACGUUUAUAAAGUUGAUCAAACUCUCUACAGUGGAUUAGAAAUUAAAGACACACAUGAACCGGGACCGAGUCCAGAAGAGGGACCCCGUCCACCGGACCGGACCCCCCCCUGGCUCCGAUCCGAGCCGUCCACGUGACAGCAAACCAGGCAGCAGCACGCACACACAGCACAGCUCGGUUCGACGUCGCCGGUACCGGAGCCGGAGCCAGCGCACACACAAACCCACCCACGGCAGCAGCACGGCGGCCAUGGACGGCUACGCGCGAGCGGAGGACGAGUCCUUCCCCCCACGGCUCGUGAGCCUCACCUGGGAGGACCCCCUGGAGCAGGGACACCACAGGAGACCAGACGGCUCAUUAAUUUCAGGGCGACCAGGGACAAUGAGUACCUAAAAUCUAAAAUGAUCGCCAGAAAACAGUGGGAGUGAGUCUUACG